GACUUUAACCAGCCGACACCUCAUGCAUUCCCUUCCAAAUUCUUCUUAUUUCUCUCUGUAGAUGUCAUCUUCAAUAAACAUAAACACAUGGAAUCCAUCUCCUUCAAUACACACACAUGGAGAUCAUUUCAUCUCCACAAACUCUCAAGACAAACAACAGGCACCAUAACUUCUCCUCUCCAUCGCAAUUUCCAAACCAGCGACCACAAGAAGUGGCGCCGGUUAACCAGCGUGACACCCCCAAACACCUCCACCCCUCCCCUGUUUAUUAGCCGGCGACCAAUUAUAGAAGACAACCACCACCGUCAGGUGGUGGUGGUGAGCGACAGCUCAAGCGAGAGAGAGAGAGAGAACCGAGAUCGGAGAAAGAGAUCGGACGGCGGUAACACCGCCACUCACGGAGGAUAGGCGGCGGUGGCUUUGUUCUUCCGGCGAGUUUCACAGUAAUGAUCUGCUGUGGCCAAUGAUGAUGAUGUUGGCGGUGUCAUGCGGCGGCGGUGGUAGUGCCGACGACAAGAGUGGAGCUCUGUUCCGACUGGGCUCCGGUUUGGGUUGUUUGACUCCGACUCCAGUUCGGAUUUCGGGUUCUCCGAGUCAAACGCAAAUCCUCAGUUCAAAGUUUCGGUCUGGUCAAGCGAGUCAAACUAGUCAGCAGCUCGGGUCAACGGUCAUACUUAUUCGGUUCCGAUUCGAUGUUCGGUAAAAUUUUAAAUGUCUCGAAGUUCAUUUUAUUAUUUAUGUUGUUAUUUUAGUCGCAGAACCGAACUUUAAAUAAAUUGUAUCGACAACAUGUUAUAUGUAACUUUGAAUAAUUGUUGAAUUUUGUCAAUGUUAUCGACAACUAUUAUUGUCGGGAUCGUCCAAAAACAGAGGAAACUCUGCCCGUUUUUCGUAAAAAAUGUCCGUGAAACGAGACGCGUUUAUUUAUAAUACCAAACAUAUCGAAUUCAUAUAAAAUUUUACAACAAUAUAUGUAAAUGUAUAUCUAUUUUGACAACAUUUCUAUGAUAUUUUUGAUAAACUUAAUUUAGAAUUAUUGCUUAAACUAUAUAAAAUAUAUACAUGUAUAUGUAUAUAUGUAUGUAUGUAUAUAUAUGUAUAUAUAUGUAUAUAUGUAUAUAUAUACUUACCCAUCGACUCGAUAAUCUUUAAAUUCCACUUCAAAUUCUCCGUUAAAAUUCCGUUUACUCAUGCACCCGCGUUUGCCCGUAUAUGGUGACCUCGGUGUUCCAUCCUCCCAAUCUCAUACGCUCGUCCACACUUGGAUAAUCGGAAGACUUAGCAAUCAUGUUUAGCGAUGAUGUUGGUGAUGCAUGGAAUCUAGUAGGAUGCUUAGAUACACACUUUAAUUUGUAUUCUUAUUGCACUGUAUUUCAUUAUUCAUUAUGUUGUAUUUACUUCAAUUUCUUGUAAUUUAUUCUUUAGAAAUGAAAUGAAAUUUACUAUUUAAA